rnacentral:rRNA from 1 species
UACGAAGGGGGCAAGCGUUAUUCGGAAUUAUUGGGUGUAAAGGGCGCGUAGGCGGUGUAGUAAGUCUAUUGUUUAAUCCUCUGGCUUAACUGGAGAGCUGCAGUAGAUACUAUUAUGCUAGAGUGUGGAAGAGAGAAGUGGAAUUCUCGGAGUAGCGGUAAAAUGCGUAGAUCUCGAGAGGAACGCCAAUGGCGAAGGCAGCUUCUUGGUACAUUACUGACGCUGAGGCGCGAAGGCGUGGGGAGCAAACAGG